UAGAGUUUGAUCAUGGCUCAGAUUGAACGCUGGCGGUAUGCUUAACACAUGCAAGUCGAACGGUAACAUUGGAGCUUGCUCCAGAUGACGAGUGGCGGACGUGAGUAACGCGUAGGAAUUUACCUAUUGGCGGGGGAUAGCCCAGAGAAAUUUGGAUUAAUACCGCAUAAGCCCUACGGGGGAAAGCGGGGGACUACUUGUAGCCUCGCACCGAUAGAUGAGCCUGCGUUAGAUUAGCUAGUUGGUGAGGUAAUGGCUCACCAAGGCGACGAUCUAUAGCUGGUCUGAGAGGAUGAUCAGCCACACUGGGACUGAGACACGGCCCAGACUCCUACGGGAGGCAGCAGUGGGGAAUAUUGGACAAUGGGCGCAACCCUGAUCCAGCAAUACCGCGUGUGUGAAGAAGGCCUGAGGGUUGUAAAGCACUUUCAAUUGUGAAGAAAAGCCUGAGGUUAAUAGCCUCGAGUCUUGACGUUAACUUUAGAAGAAGCACCGGCUAACUCUGUGCCAGCAGCCGCGGUAAUACAGAGGGUGCGAGCGUUAAUCGGAAUUACUGGGCGUAAAGCGUACGUAGGUGGUUUAGUAAGUCAGAUGUGAAAGCCCUGGGCUCAACCUGGGAACUGCAUUUGAAACUGCUGAGCUAGAGUGUGGUAGAGGGAAGUGGAAUUCAGGGUGUAGCGGUGAAAUGCGUAGAUAUCCUGAGGAACACCAGUUGGCGAAGGCGACUACCUGGCCAGAUACUGACGCUCAGGAACGAAAGCGUGGGGAGCGAACAGGAUUAGAUACCCUGGUAGUCCACGCCGUAAACUAUGAUUACUCGUUGUCGGCGAUACACUGUCGGUGGCUAAGCGAAAGUGAUAAGUGAUCCACCUGGGGAGUACGAUCGCAAGGUUGAAACUCAAAGGAAUUGACGGGGGCCCGCACAAGCGGUGGAGCAUGUGGUUUAAUUCGAUGAUACGCGAGGAACCUUACCUGGGCUCAAAUGUAAGUUGACAAAUCCUGAAAGGGGUCUUUCUUCGGACAAUUUACAAGGUGCUGCAUGGUUGUCGUCAGCUCGUGCCGUGAGGUGUCGGGUUAAGUCCCAUAACGAGCGCAACCCCUACUCUUAGUUGCCAGCAUGUAAUGAUGGGGACUCUAGGAGAACUGCCUACGCAAGUAGAGAGGAAGGUGGGGAUGACGUCAAAUCAGCACGGCCCUUACGUCCAGGGCUACACACGUGCUACAAUGGCCGGUACAGAGGGCAGCCACCUGGUGACAGGGAGCGAAUCUCUAAAGCCGGUCUCAGUUCGGAUCGAAGUCUGCAACCCGACUUCGUGAAGCUGGAAUCGCUAGUAAUCGCGCAUCAGCCAUGGCGCGGUGAAUACGUUCCCGGGCCUUGUACACACCGCCCGUCAAGCCAUGGAAGCUGGGGGUACCUGAAGUCAGUGACCAUUUAGGAGCUGCCUAGGGUAAAACUAGUGACUGGGGCUAAGUCGUAACAAGGUAACCA
rnacentral:rRNA from 1 species